rnacentral:rRNA from 1 species
GAUGAAGGUUUUCGGAUCGUAAAACUCUGUUGUUAGGGAAUAAACAAGUACCGUUCAAAUAGGGCGGUACCUUGACGGUACCUAACCAAAAAGCCACGGCUAACUACGUGCCACCACCCGCGGUAAUACUUAGGUGGCAAGCGUUGUCCGGAAUUAUUGGGCGUAAAGCGCGCGCAGGCGGUUUCUUAAUUCUGAUGUGAAAGCCCCCGGCUCAACCGGGGAGGGUCAUUGGAAACUGGGGAACUUGAGUGCAGAAAAGGAAAGUGGAAUUCCACGUGUAGCGGUGAAAUGCUUAGAGAUGUGAAGGAACACCAGUGCCAAAGGCAACUCUCUGGUCUGUAACUGACGCUAAGGCGCG